rnacentral:rRNA from 1 species
AGAGUUUGAUCAUGGCUCAGAUCAACGCUGGCGGCGCGCCUAACACAUGCAAGUCGCACGAGAAAGCGGAGCAAUCUCGCAAGUAAAGUGGCGUACGGGUGAGUAACACGUGGAUCAUCUGCCCUGGAGUGGGGAAUAACGCUGGGAAACCGGCGCUAAUACCGCAUAUACCCGAGAGGGGAAAGCAGCAAUGCGCUCGAGGAGGAGUCCGCGGCCGAUUAGCUAGUUGGCAGGGUAAAAGCCUACCAAGGCUAUGAUCGGUAGCCGGCCUGAGAGGGCACACGGCCACACUGGCACUGAAACACGGGCCAGACUCCUACGGGAGGCAGCAGUGGGGAAUCUUGCACAAUGGGGGAAACCCUGAUGCAGCGACGCCGCGUGAGCGAUGAAGCCCUUCGGGGUGUAAAGCUCUUUCGGCAGGGAAGAUUAUGACGGUACCUGCAGAAGCAGCUGCGGCUAACUACGUGCCAGCAGCCGCGGUAAUACGUAGGCAGCAAGCGUUGUUCGGAGUUACUGGGCGUAAAGGGUGUGUAGGUGGCGCGCUAAGUUCCGUGUGAAAUCUCCCGGCUCAACCGGGAGGGUGCGCGGAAAACUGGCGGGCUAGAGUACGGGAUGGGAGAGUAGAAUUCCUGGUGUAGCGGUGAAAUGCGUAGAUAUCAGGAGGAAUACCGGUGGUGUAGACGGCUCUCUGGACCGUAACUGACACUGAGACACGAAAGCGUGGGUAGCAAACAGGAUUAGAUACCCUAGUAGUCC